AGAGUUUGAUCCUGGCUCAGGGCGAACGCUGGCGGCGUGCCUAACACAUGCAAGUCGUGCGACGGCCCUCGAGAAGUCCCUUCGGGGAUGGAUUGAGGGCACGGAGCGGCAAACGGGUGAGUAACACGUAGCUAACCUGCCCCCGCGACGGGGAUAACCCUCCGAAAGGGGGGCUAAUACCCGAUGGUCUCCCGGGGUCACAAGAUCCCGGGAGUAAAGGCGCUGGGCGACCGGCGCCGCGCGGGGAGGGGGCUGCGGCCCAUCAGGUAGUUGGUGGGGUAAUGGCCCACCAAGCCUAUGACGGGUAGGGGGCCUGAGAGGGUGGCCCCCCACACGGGGACUGAGACACGGCCCCGACUCCUACGGGAGGCAGCAGUGGGGAAUCUUGGGCAAUGCCCGCAAGGGUGACCCAGCGACGCCGCGUGCGGGAAGAAGCCCUUCGGGGUGUAAACCGCUUUUCUGGGGGAAGAAUAAGGCGGGGAGGAAAUGCCCCGCCGAUGACGGUACCCCAGGAAUAAGGGCCGGCUAACUACGUGCCAGCAGCCGCGGUAAGACGUAGGGCCCGAGCGUUGCCCGGAUUUACUGGGCGUAAAGUGCGCGUAGGCGGUUCGGCAAGUCGCCCGUGAAAGCCCGGGGCUCAACCCCGGGAGGCCGGGCGAUACUGCCGGGCUAGAGGACGGCAGAGGAGGGUGGAGCGGCCGGAGUAGCGGUGAAAUGCGUAGAUACCGGCCGAAAUCCCGAUGGCGAAGGCAACCCUCUGGGCCGUUCCUGACGCUGAGGCGCGAAAGCGUGGGGAGCGAACCGGAUUAGAUACCCGGGUAGUCCACGCCCUAAACGAUGCGGGCUAGGUGUCGGGGGGUACUCCCUCGGUGCCGCAGCUAACGCGUUAAG
rnacentral:rRNA from 1 species